GACGAACGCUGGCGGCGUGCUUAACACAUGCAAGUCGAACGGUAAGGCCCUUCGGGGUACACGAGUGGCGAACGGGUGAGUAACACGUGGGUGGUCUGCCCUGCACUUCGGGAUAAGCCUGGGAAACUGGGUCUAAUACCGGAUAGGACCACUGCCUGCAUGGGUGGUGGUGGAAAGCUUUUGCGGUGUGGGAUGGGCCCGCGGCCUAUCAGCUUGGUGGUGGGGUGAUGGCCUACCAAGGCGACGACGGGGAGCCGGCCUGAGAGGGUGACCGGCCACACUGGGACUGAGGUGCGGCCCGGACUCCUGCGGGAGGCAGCAGUGGGGAAUAUUGCACAAUGGGCGCAAGCCUGAUGCAGCGACGCCGCGUGAGGGAUGACGGCCUUCGGGUUGUAAACCUCUUUCAGCACCGACGAAGCGCAAGUGACGGUAGGUGCAGAAGAAGGACCGGCCAACUACGUGCCAGCCGCCGCCGUAA
rnacentral:rRNA from 1 species